rnacentral:sRNA from 1 species
CCGGUGGACACCAGGGCUGUGCUGUUUUGGUUGCUGUAAGCGUGGGUGCACACUCCUGCCUGAGGCUCUGACUUGUUGUGAGUGCGGGUGCACACACCUGCCUGAGGCUGUGUUUUGGGUGUUGUGAGCGCGGGUACACACACCUGCCUGAGGCUCUGUUUUGACUGUUGUGAGCGCAGGUGCACACACCUGCCAGAGGCUCUGUUUUGACUGUUGUGAGCGCGGGUGCACACACCUGCCUGAGGCUGUGGUGCGAUCUCAGCUGACUGCAACCUCCACCUCCCGGGUUCAAGCGGUUCUCCUGCCUCAGCCUCCCGAGUAGCUGGGACUAUACCCACCACCACACCCGGCUAUUUUUUUGUAUUUUUAGUAGAGAUGGGAUUUCGCCAUCUUGGCCAGGAUGGUCUGGAACUGACCUCAGGUGAUCCACCCAUUGGCCUCCCAAAGUGCUGGGAUUACAGAUGUGAGCCACUGUGCCCGGCCUCUUUUUACUUUGUUAAUGGUGUAUUUUGAUAGAGAACAGAUUGUCAUUUUCAUGAAGCACAGCUGGUCGGUUUAUUGUUGCUCAUGUAUUUGGCCUCACGUUCGAGUCCCUGUUCUUAAUCAUGAGCUGGACACAUCCCUCUUUAGAGCAACUGUGACCACUUGUGGUGAGAAGUGCAGCCCACACCAUCCACGUGAGGCUCCCAUGCAGAUGUUUAGAAGGCGUUUCCACUGCAGCUCAGAAAAUGGCCCCAGGCGCCCAUGGGCACCCCCAUGUCACUAGGGCCUCUGGUUGCUGCAGGUACACAGGGAUAAGCAGCCUGGCCUCGAAGGCGCUUGGCAUGGGUUUGGGUGUCUGCAUUGGGUAGAGACCCGGAGCACCCUUGCUGGGCGUGCCCUAACAUCCCAGUACCCUGUGCCCCUCUGUGGGCCAGGAUGCCUGGUGCUGCCAGCUGGGCGUGAGCCCUGAGGAGCUGAGGGUGGCUGUGACUUGGAGGAUGAGUGGGAGCUUACCAGGAGGGCGUGGAGCCGGGGCGUUUAAUAUCAUCAGGAGCAACACUGGGCUCAGAAGGCAGGCACACUUGCCGUCCCUCCAGAGCCAUGGCUGACGGCCAGGCCUGGCGGGCUCUCGUGAGGACAGUGCCUGUGGUUGUCAGAUGCUGUCCCUUCGGGUAAGGGAUGAGAGCCAUCCUGAAGACAGGUCAGCUCUGUGGUGGCCACCCGUCGGGAUCAGUGACAUUCAGGUGUGUUGCACUGGUGGCUGUGUGGCUGUGUGGUGUGUGGCUGUGUGGUGUGUGGUGUGGCCACCAGGAGCCAUGUGGCCGAGGACAGCUGUGGGCUGGGCACAGAGCUGUCUCUGCUGGGAGUCAGUCGGUGCUGGGGUGAGGGGAGGCAGAGCUCACAGAGCCCCUCUACAGCUUACCCUGCAGCUCUGCCCCAGGCAGUAAACCCACCAUCCCCCUUUCUGCCGCAGGAGGCCGUGGAGAAGGUGACGCAGCACAUACAUGGCCUGUCUGGGAAGAAGGAUGGGCUGGUGCCCAUGUUCAUCAAUACCCACAGCGGCCUCUUCACCCACCUGGGCGUGUUCACACUGGGCGCCAGGGCCGACAGCUACUAUGAGUACCUGCUGAAGCAGUGGAUCCAGGGCGGGAAGCAGGAGACACAGUGAGGCCCAGCCUGCUGCCCCCAGCUCCCGCGGCUUCCCCGUUCCCGCAGCCCCCCACUCCUGCUGCCCCCAGCUCCCGCGGCUUCCCCGUUCCCGCAGCCCCCCACUCCUGCUGCCCCCCGCCACACUGUGUGUCGGGAAACCGCAGCCGUGCCAGGCCUGGCCCAGGCAUUCCUGUGGAGGGCGUAUUCAUUCACUUCUCACCGUGGCCUCUGUGGGGGUGAGGGGGGCAUCUUCACUGAGGGCCAUGGGCUGUGCAGGGUGGCACCUUCUGUCCGGCAAGGGCCAGGCCUGCUGUGCUUGUGUGGGCCCAGGAUGUGCCUGUUCCUGGUGCCCCACGGGAGCCAGUGCACCGUCCUGGUAGAGUGAGGUGACUGCUGGUGUCCACAGGCUGCUGGAAGACUACCUGGAAGCCAUCGAGGGUGUCAAAACGCACCUGCUGCGGCACUCCGAGCCCAGUAAGCUCACCUUCGUGGGGGAGCUUGCCCACGGCCGCUUCAGUGCCAAGAUGGGACGCUGGCUCUGGGCGUCUACCACGGCCUGCCCGCCAGCCACAUGGAGCUGGCCCAGGAGCUCAUGGAGACUUGUUACCAGAUGAACCGGCAGAUGGAGACGGGGCUGAGUCCCGAGAUCGUGCACUUCAACCUUUACCCCCAGCCGGGCCGUCGGGACGUGGAGGUCAAGCCGGCAGACAGGCACAACCUGCUGCGGCCAGAGACCGUGGAGAGCCUGUUCUACCUGUACCGUGUCACAGGGGACCGCAAGUACCAGGACUGGGGCUGGGAGAUUCUGCAGAGCUUCAGCCGGUUCACGCGGGUCCCCUCGGGUGGCUAUUCUUCCAUCAACAAUGUCCAGGAUCCUCAGAAGCCCGAGCCCAGGGACAAGAUGGAGAGCUUCUUCCUGGGGGAGACGCUCAAGUAUCUGUUCUUGCUCUUCUCUGACGACCGUAACCUACUCAGCCUGGACGCCUACGUGUUCAACACUGAAGCCCACCCUCUGCCUAUCUGGACCCCUGCCUAGGGGGGACGGCUGCUGCUGUGGGGACUUCGGGUGGGCAGAGGCGCCUGGCUGGGUCUGUGGCAUUUUCCAAGGGCCCACGUAGCGCCGGCAACCGCCGAGUGGCCCGGGCUCUGAACUGGCUCUGGGCUCCUCCUUGUCUCUGCUUUAAUCAGGACACCGUGAGGCCAAGUGAGGCCGUCAGUCUGUGUGUGAUGCGGUGUGGGCUGGGCCACUGGAGCCUCCGCCUGCUUCCUCCAGAAAACACGAAUCAUGACUCACGAUCGCUGAAGCCUGAGCAGGUCUCUGUGGGCCGACCGGAGGGGCUUCGAGUGGCCCCUGGCACUGUGGUGACCGAGUGGACAGCCCAGGGUGCAGCUCUGCCCAGGCUCGUGAAGCCUCAGAUGUCCCCAAUCCAAGGGUCUGGAGGGGCUGCCGUGACUCCACAGGCCCGAGGCUCCAGGGCUGGCUCUGGUGUUUACUAGCUGGACUCAGGGAUCCUCCUGGCCACCCCGCAGGGGGCUUGGAGGGCUGGACGGCAAGUCUGUCUGGCUCACGGGCCCCUCCAGUGGAAUGGGUCCUUUCGGUGGAGAUAAAAGUUGAUUUGCUCU